GAAGAAUUGAAGAAAAUCUAAUUUAGACAAAAGAUUUCAUAGCCAGUUGUAAGAUUCACAUAGUUAGCUGUGAGACUGAAGAGUAAGCAUGGUUGCUUGUGGGAUGAUAGUAGGGUACAUAGCCAACUGUAGGAAUCCUCGCCACACGGAUAAUUGGCCAUGAGAUGGUUAUUUCUCACCCAAUAGACUUUUGACAUCUCAUUAAGAGUAGAAAAAUAAUCCAAGAUAGAGUGUAGUUGGAGAUUAUCUACCAUGAAAAAGGAAAGGACGUUUUUCUCUUGAGGAGGAGGAUAAAAACAAGAUAGAAUUGGUAAUUUUGAGCUGGAGAAAAGCUUGGGAGGAAAAGUUUGAGGAGAUUGGAGCAAGAAUUUCUCAUCAAGUCUUCAAGCUUCUUAGAGUUCUUUUUUCUAUUUUCUUUCCCUUAAAUUUUCUUUGGAGAUUAAAAUGUUAUUGCUAUUUUUAAAUACAAUUUUGUUGAGGUUAUUUUUAGUUUUGACAUUAUGAGUGGCUAGUUUUCUUUUUUUCUUUUUUAAGCUAGGGAUUUAGUGUAACUU
rnacentral:misc_RNA from 1 species